UGUGAUAAGAAAAUUGUUCAGUUAUUUUCUGCUCGUACAAUUUAUGCCCAGUUUCUUCUAUUUAUCUUGUGAUAAUGUGACUUGGAAAGUAUAAAUGUUAUCAUUUCCUUUUAAUUCAACAUUCAAGUCAUCCUUACUUGCAGAUAACGGAAACCUCCAUAGGUCAAGCACUAUGCCGGGGGUGAUCAAGGAUACUGAGAUAACUACUGAAACUACGGGUCCAUCAAAUCUGGAAAGGUCAAAAACUGAGAGGCGCAAACAAAGUAACCCAACUGAUGAUCCUGCUAAACAAUUAUUGGAUGAUAAGAUUUCCAUAAGGAAAAAGGUACUCAACCUAUUGAUGCACAUGGACAUGAUGACUCUCUAGCGUUUAUGGACCAACCAACCUGUAAUCAUGGUCCUUAUUGUAUUGUAGACCAUUUGGUGUUUCGAGUGUUUUGGAGCUUGCACUUUGUGCAUGUAGAUACAAACUUGUGUGUUCUGAACCAUCUGAUGUCUCUCAUAGUAACCAAUAGUCCUUAUCUUUUUGUGACUUGUGUGUUCUAGAUGAUUGUUAAGAUGGUCAAAACUAUGCUUCCUCUAGGUUAAUUUGUUUGUCAA